rnacentral:rRNA from 1 species
CCGUACGAUCAAAUGUACAAGCGAAACUGCGAAUGGCUCAUUACAUCAGUUAUGGUUCCUUGGAUACGUUGCCUUCACACCCACGGCUAGUUGGAUAUCUGUAGUAAUUCUAGAGCUAAUACAUGCGACUCGGCGCCGGGCACCCCUCGUCGCCUCCGGGUGCUUGGGGAGCCACGGCGUGCUUUUAUUAGGAACGAAGACCGACGCGCGCCGGCUCCCGCCGACGCGCACCUCAUCGGUGGUGAACUCUAGGUAACUGUUUGGAUCGCACGGCCUCGCGAGAGCCGGCGACUCUUCCUUCAAGUGUCUGCCCCAUCAACUGGCGACGGUAGGGUACACGCUUACCGUGGUGGUAACGGGUGACGGGGAAUCAGGGUUCGAUUCCGGAGAGGGAGCCUGAGAAACGGCUACCACAUCCAAGGAAGGCAGCAGGCCCGCAAAUUACCCACUCUCGAUUCGAGGAGGUAGUGACGAAAGGUAAGGAGGCGGUGCUCGAUUCGAGCGCACUGCCGUCCGAAUGAGGACAGUUCAAAACAUUUCUCUAGGACCUAUAGAGGGCAAGUCUGGUGCCAGCAGCCGCGGUAAUUCCAGCUCCAACGGCGUACAUUAAAGCUGCUGCGGUUAAAAAGCUCGUAGUUGGAUCUCGGGCCCGCUCGGCCGGCCCCUGCUACCGUAGCAGUCGACUCUUCCCUUGCGGUCGAGGCGGCGCGCGGGCGGGAAGUCGGCCGAUGUCGAGCGCCCAUUCGAGUCGUCGGCCGAGAGUGCGGUACUCUUCGUCGGGUGCCGCGAUCGGUCGGACCCCGCACCGUGAGUAAAUUGGAGUGAUCAAAGCAGGCCGUGGAACCGGUCGCCGGUACAGUAAAGCAUGGAAUGAUGGAAUAAGGCCUCUGCUCUGCAUUGCGGUCGGUCCGUCGGGAGCAACCGGGAGGUAAUGGUUAAGAGGAACGGUCCGGGGGCAUUCGUACCGCGACGGGAGAGGUGAAAUUCAGGGAUCGUCGCGAGACGCGCAGCAGCGAAAGCAUUUGCCCAGGACGUUCCGGUUAAUCAAGAACGAAAGUCGGAGGUUCGAAGACGAUCAGAUACCGUCCUAGUUCCGACCGUAAACGAUGCCGACGGGCAGUCCGCCUGCGCCCUUCCUUAGCGUAACAAGGUACGCGGCCCGGCGGGCGGCCAAGGGGAAACCCAGAGUCUUUGGGUUCCGGGGGUAGUACGGUUGCAAAGCGGAAACUUAAAGGAAUUGACGGAAGGGCACCACCAGGAGUGGAGCCUGCGGCCUAAUUCGACUCAACGCGGGGAAACUCACCCGGUCCGGACGCGGCCAGGAUUGACAGAUUAAAAGCUCUUUCUCGAUUCCGCGGGUGGUGGUGCAUGGCCGUUCAUAGUUGGUGGAGCGAUUUGUCUGGUUGAUUCCGAUAACGAACGAGACUCCGGCCUACUUACUAGUCGCGCGGCGGCUGUAUCGGUCGUCGGCGCCGCGACGGCGGGGGGCGUCGGUUGUUUGCGCGGCCGGCGUGCCUCACGUUCGACUUCUUAGAGGGACGGGCGGCGUAGUAGCCGCACUAGAAGGAGCGAUAACAGGUCUGUGAUGCCCUUAGACGUCUGGGGCUGCACGCGCGCUACACUGAAAGAGUCAGCGGGAGCCGGCGCCAGGGCCGGAAGGACUCGCGAGGAAUCUCUCAACCUCUUUCGUGAUGGGGAUAGGGAUUUGGAACUGUUUCCCUUGAACGAGGAAUUCCCAGUAGGUGCGACUCGUCACGUCGCGUCGAUUACGUCCCUGCCCUUUGUACACACCGCCCGUCGCUACUACCGAUCGAAUGGCCGAGUGAGAUCCUUGGACGGGAGUUCGGCGGGGCAGUCGCGCGCAACCCGCGUGCGUUCGGCCUCGGCCUCUCGGAAGACGCUCGAACUCGAUACGUUUAGAGGAAGUAAAAGUCGUUAACAU